rnacentral:rRNA from 1 species
UGGCCUACGGGACGCAGCAGUGAGGAAUAUUGGUCAAUGGGCGGGAGCCUGAACCAGCCAAGUCGCGUGAGGGAAGACGGUCCUAUGGAUUGUAAACCUCUUUAGGCGGGGAGCAAUGCCGGGCACGCGUGCCCGGAGGGAGAGUACCCGCAGAAUAAGCAUCGGCUAACUCCGUGCCAGCAGCCGCGGUAAUACGGAGGAUGCGAGCGUUAUCCGGAUUUAUUGGGUUUAAAGGGGGCGUAGGCGGAUUUUUAAGUACGCGGUAAAAUGUCCGGGCUCCACCCGGGCCGGCCGUUGAA